AAGCGACAAUAGCUCACCAUGUGAAUCUGCGUCAAGCCGAAUUGUGGUCUCACUUGCGCUAUUGGGCCGGGCCAAGUCCGUUGGAACACGGCAGCCGAGAGGGUGACACUCCCGUCCGCCCGGCCCUCUGAGCUUGUGUAUUCGAGUCGAGUUGUUUGGGAUUGCAGCUCUAAGCGGGUGGUAAAUUCCAUCGAAAGCUAAAUACUGGUGGGAGACCGAUAGCGUACAAGUACCGUGAGGGAAAGAUGCAAAGAAGCGCGAAAGCGCUGUUAAAGAGUACCUGAACUUGCUGAAACGGAAGCGAAGGAAACCAGUGCCAGCUGCGCCAUACUUCCCCAUCCGCUUGCGGUUGGGGCGCUGUGGCCAGCGUUGUCAUGCUUGGUUGGCGGGUGCGGAAGAGCUCGUGGGGAGUUGACCCUCGUUGCGUGCGCGCCGUCCGACCGAGCCUGACGAAAUGGUUUUCUUUUUCCCGUCUAGAAACACGGACCAAGGAGUCUAACAUAUGUGCGAGUACAGAGGUGGCAAACCUCCGUGCGCAAUGAAAGUGACAGUGGCUGGAAUUUUUGCACAGUCCGCCGGCCUCAAUCCCUCGGGAGAACGGUCUGAGUGUGAGCAUACAUGUUGGGACCCGAAAGAUGGUGAACUAUGCCUGAAUAGGGCGAAGCCAGGGGAAACUCUGGUGGAGGCUCGUAGGGAUUCUGACGUGCAAAUCGAUCUUCAAAUUUGGGUAUAGGGGCGAAAGACUAUC
rnacentral:rRNA from 1 species